rnacentral:rRNA from 1 species
GAUCAAGAUAUUAAGGGCGCACGGUGGAUGCCUUGGCGUUGGAAGCCGAUGAAGGACGUGGCAAGCUGCGAUAAGCCCCGGGUAGGUGCACACUACCGUCAAUCCGGGGAUGU